AAAAGCAUCCUCUGUGGCAUCCCAAGUGUUGUGCCCUACUUGACUUACCUGUCUUGCUUGUCUUUCUGUGCCACACUGAGGAAUUUUCUGGCACUGAUGAGGAAGCCAAAGCCACCAAAGUGAACUGACUUACUGAAGGACACAACUGUGAGAGAAUGAGGUGGAAUAAAACGACAAGAGUUGGAGUUGAGUAAAGGGAAUGGAGAAGAAGAGGGUGAAAUGAAAUCAUCAACAAAUGACAAGAGAAGAGAAGGAAGCACAGAUAAGUGGUAUAGCUUUGAAAGUUAUGUGUUGAAUGUGGUAUAAAAGCAAACUCCACAUGCCAGAGAUUCAUUCUUUUGUAGGCCCAUGCCUUUUGUGUUUUACAAUGUCACUGAACAUACUUUUUUGAUUCAGUGUAUAUUUAGUUUGUAAUUUUAAUAAUUAAAGAAUAAAAUGGGACACAGUUGAAUCAGAUGAGGCCGAGUAGGAUAGUGUCAAUAGAUGUGGUAAUGGAGUAGAUUAGAAGAAGAGAUGGAGUGGGGGGUAGAAUGGAAUUGAGAUGAGUGGAUUGGAAUGGGGAUAGACUGGAAUGGCAUGGAAAAUUCCAGGCUCUCCUCUUUUGGGUGAUUCUUCAUCUUCAGG